AUAAUAACAUUCGACUGAAAUUUACCCCAUAGCUAGGGCUUAUUCUCAAUAUUACAUUUUCAGUUACUUUUCCAAGGUGCCAAAAAUAGGGAACUUGAGCUCCUCUAUUAGUUCUAUUAGAUGAUAAUAACUUUAGCCUCUUUUUUCUACAGCGCGCUUACUCAUCGAUUCAACGCCUUUUUGCUCUAGGGUUUAUUUUUCGAAGAGGUUCAUUCUUGAAGAGCCGAAAGAGUUGGGAAGGAACUUCUUGCAACAGAUAAUUCCCAUGCUAGAAGUGAUCAAGAUUCUUCAGGAAACAAGCUUCCCCAAGAUGUUGGUUUGUAGGUAUCCCAUAAAAUCAGGGGUGACUUGGCUGCUAGAUAUCAUACCACUAGGCAUAAAUCUUAGUUCUUAGCUGCUCUAGAUUGAGUGGCUUCCAGUUCACUACCUUGGUUUUGGGAUCUAGGUUGAGAAUGCAACUCAUGUUCUUAAAAGAUUGAUGUUCUUUCAUACAGGAUGGUUCAGCUAAAGCAGAUAAAUAUGAGGUUGGUUCUUUGGUCUAAAGUGGCAUGCUCUUCAGGAAUAUAUGUUGUAUAUAGAGUUUAUAUGUAACUGAGUGUAUGAUUUCACUUGGCAGAAUAUGUGGGAUCUUACACCAGAUACUAAUUUGUUAAAGGAACUGCCUAAAGAGUAUACAUUUGAAACCGCACUGGCAGAUUUGAUUGCAGGCAUCUUUUGAAUAUAAUCUUUUAUUCUAUAACAUUCUAUAUUUAUGUUGAUCACUUUAAGCAUUAACAUCAUUUCAAUUGUGUAUCAGGAUAACUCAUUGCAGGAUGUAUGGUCUAAUCAUGCAGACCAGAAAAGAUUAAUAAGAUCAAAGAUUUAUGUAAGAUCAUCCCACGACAAAUAAAGGCUGAAAAUGCAGUUUCUGUAAUCAGACAAACAAUUGAAAAACUCAUUGCAAAGUGCAAAGAGAUUGUAGAAUCUAAGGGUGAGAGAAUUAAUGAGGAUGAGUACGUGAAUGACAGAGAUCCAAGCAUUCUUCGGUUUUUGCUUGCUAGCCGUGAAGAGGUAUAAAAUUGAGAGUUGAAUGAAGACUAACUGCAAGCUCAACAAAUUGUUGGUACUUUGGAAGAAAUCUCUACAUAUCUAUCUUAGUCUAGGAUACGAGUAAUAUUUAAUACUUUGCCAAGGUGAUAUUACCUUAAUAUAAUUUUAGUUUUCUUAAUUUGUAUGAUUGUGGAUGAUUUUAUCAUUAUCUGGCAUGUUUUAUAAUUUUAUUUUCAAUUUAUUAAAUUCUAA